UGAAAAGCCCACACUUAACAGAAAUGAAGCAUAUUAUCGAUUAUUCUAGUAAAAAUGUUAAAUUAAUCCUUGUACAAAACAAAAUUACAAAUAAAUGAAACUAAAAUUAUCUAAAACACAUACAUAAGAACUGAUAGAAUGUGAUAGAAUACCCAUAGAGUAAUACCAUUUUAUGUUUCCGCCCCGGCCGCCAUAUUGACAUAAUCUUGACAGCAUGUUGGAAUGGGCGUGAACCAAUGAACUGUCAACACCGAGUUGACAGUUCAUUGGCGUGAACCCGCAAACAAAACAAAACAACAGCAGAAAACAGAACGGAGAGAAGUAAAAAAGACUCUUUUUAUUUACUUUUUACUAUUUACUUGAUGCCUAAGACCAAGACAGCAACUUAACUAUAGCAAGAAAGAGCACUAAGAACUAAGGGUCACAUAGAAUAACAGUAUGGAGAAACAAGAAGACAAUUACACAAAUAACGAAGUAUCUAAUAUAAAAUGCGAAACCGAAUUUGAGAACAAUGGUGUGAACAAUACAGAAUUUCCAGUUACCAUAAAAAAUGAAUUCAAACAAGAAAUGCUUCUACCUGAGGAUGAUACAACUAAUGACGAUUCCAAGGAUUGGUUCAUCCAAAUGAAUACGGCAGUAUCAGUUGAAGAUGUAAAACAUGAACAAAUUGAAGAUGAUGGCGAUUUGGUCAACUGUAAAAAUUUGAAGUCUGAACCAAAUAUUAAGGAAGAGGAAGACAUAAUUGAAGAAAAGCAGAGUCAAUGUGGUUCCUCCUCUGAAGAAAUACACAAUGAUGCAAACAGUGAUUUGAAAUCGAACAAACGCCUGGUAGGAGAGGACACAAAAACUGUUGAUACUUCAUUCACUUGUGAAAUUUGCUCCAAACAGUAUUUUUUAGAGCAUAAUUUAAAAAGACAUAUGAAGUCGCAUGAUGGUGAAGACAAACGGCAUAAUGAUGAAGAAAAAGAAAAACCUUUUGAAUGUGACGUUUGUUUUAAACGGUUUAAAACUAAUUUAGAAGUAAAAUCGCACAUGAGAACUCACACUGGAGAAACAUUUAAGUGUGAACUUUGCCCCAAAGAGUAUUUUUCCAAUUAUUCUUUAAAAUUACAUAUGAGAUGGCACACAGGAGAAACUUUUUCAUGUAAAAUAUGCUCCAAACAAUUUGUAAGAAGUUCUAAAUUCAACGCACAUAUGUUAAAACACAGUGAAGGGAGUAAAGAAAGGCGUUUCACAUGUGUCAUUUGCUCCGAAACAUUUUCAACCAUUUAUAAUUUAAGACGACAUUCAAGAUGGCACACUGGAGAAACUUAUACGUGCGAGAUUUGCUCCAAACAGUUCGUUGACCGUCAUUAUUUUAACAUCCAUUUGAGAUUGCAUACGGGCGCAAAACCUUUUCAGUGUGAAAUUUGUUCAAAACAUUUUUCACACAAGUCCGGAGUAAAAGUACAUAUGAGAACACAUACUGGAGAAAAACCCUUCAGCUGUGAAAUCUGCUCAAAACAGUGUGUAACCAGUUCUGAUUUAAAGGUUCAUAUGAGAAAGCACACUAAAGAAGUGCCUUACGAAUGCGAAAUUUGCCCCAAGAAGUAUGCAACAAGUAGUGGAUUAAAAAAACAUAUGGAAAAACGUCCUUUCAAGUGUGAAACUUGUCUGAGACACUAUAAAACAAAUAAAGAUCUUCAAUUGCAUAUCAAAUUGCACACUGGAGGAGAAACUUUUUCGUGCGAAGUUGGUUCAAAACUUCUUUCUACAUAUUCUUCGCUGAGAGUUCAAUUGAGAACACAUACUGAAAGAAUACCCUUCACAUGCGAAGUUUGCUCCAAAGGAUUUUUUAGCAGUGCCACGUUAAAAUUACAUAUGACGGUGCAUACGAAAGAACUUUUUCCGUGUGAACUGUGCCCUAAACAAUUCAUAACAAAAUCCAAAUUGAAAAUACAUAUUAUGAGAAUGCAUACAGAUGACAGGCCUUUCCCCUGUAAAGUUUGCCCCAAACGGUUUGCAGUGAAAAAUGAGUUAAUUUCACACAUGAGAUGGCACACUAGAGACGUUCUUUUCACAUGUGAAAUUUGCAGUAAACAAUUCGUUACCAGGACAGUACUAACUAGACAUAUUAUGAGAAUUCAUACGGCGGAAAAACCAUUCAAAUGUGAAAUUUGCAAUAAACAAUUUAUUAUCAAGACAGAAUUAACUAAUCAUAUGAUAACUCAUACGGGGGAAAAACCAUUCUCCUGCGAAAUUUGCUGCAAACAGUUUGUUGUCAAAAGAUCAUUAACUGAUCAUAUGAUAACUCAUACGGGGGAAAACCCAUUCUCCUGCGAAAUUUGCUACAAACAGUUUGUUGGCAAAAGAUCAUUAACUAAUCAUAUGAUAACGCAUACGAGGGGAAAACCAUUCUCCUGCGAAAUUUGCUACAAACAGUUUGUUGUCAAAAGAUCAUUAACUAAUCAUAUGAUAACUCAUACGGGGGAAAAACCAUUCUCCUGCGAAAUUUGCUGCAAACAGUUUGUUUACAAAAUAUCAUUAAAUAAUCAUAUGAUAACUCAUACGGGGGGAAAACCAUUUUCCUGCGAAAUUUGCUGCCAACAGUUUGUUACCAAAAUAUCAUUAUCUAAUCAUAUGAGAACUCAUCCGAGGGAGAAACCAUUCUCCUGUGAAAUUUGCUGCAAACAGUUCGAUAUCAAAAGAUCAUUAAAUAGACAUAUGAGAACUCAUACGGAGGAAAACCCAAUUCAAACGUGAACUUUGCUUUAAAGAUUUCGCAACUAAGUUCUUAGUGCAGCCAAUGGAGUUUUUACUUGAAGGUAUGAUUCCGAACAAAAGUUUAUAAUAUGGUUUUCUAUAGGCUGUACGUUAAGCACAGCGGCACUGUCGCCGAUGCGAGACGUACGCAAAAUGUCGCCAAAACGCUGACCGCAGUACUGAUCCAGAACCAGUAGUAUCAAUAGGGCUUUUCAUCGAUUGUCAUUUGUUUCGAGCUUCUGUCAUGUGUCACAUAAUAUUAAUAUAUCUACGUCAUACGUCUUUGGUUUGUAUUAUUGUAAAUACCUAAGGGCCAGUUGUUCGAACGAUAAUCAACAUUGAUCACUAUCAAAUACUUAAUUACUGUCACAACUGUCAAUGUCAACUUUGGUUGGGUUGCCGAAGACAUAAUUAUUGAUGACAAUUAUGAAAUUAGUUAAUCAAUUAUGUUAAUAAUUGUUAUGUUAAUUGACUAACUAAUCUCAUAAUUAUAAUUAACUAUGUUUUAGCAACCCAACCAAAGUUGACAUUGACAGUUGUGACAAUAAUUAAAUAUUUGAUAGUGAUCAAUGUUGAUUAGCGUUCGAACAACCGGCCCUUAGAGUAUGGAAAAUUUUUUACCCUCUCCCUGGAGUGACCGCAACGAGAACGAAACUGAAGCCAAAACCAAGUUAGAACCAAACACGAGUGCCAGUGGCGUAUCGCGUAGGCCAGAAGAAACUAUAUAAAACUACAUAAUUAAAUAAUAUUGCUUGUAGGUUUAGUUCAAUUUUCAAUUUUUAUUAAUUACACAAUAUUAUGCAUGGCUUACAUAGAAAGAUUUAAACAAAUAACAGUAUUUUAUUAUGUUGAACUUUUAUACCCACUCAAAAUAAAACAGGAUUAGGAAUUAGGGUAUGUGACGAAAGCAAACUUUUUGAAAUAUUGAUUAAUGAUAGAUAUCUUUAUUUCACAUAGGUCGCAAAACUUCGGCUCCAAUACUAUAUUUAAAUGGGAUUUAUUUUUUCGAAUUCUGAGAAAAAAGUUACAGGGGUGAAAAACUAAGAGACAAUUUAGUGUGAUUUUUAUUUUCAAAGAUCUCAUUCAAAAGAAACUUUUUAUUUAUUCUGAGGGACUUUCAGCCCUCGGUAAUAAUUUAGUCUUUCAUUCUGCGUUUAAAUUUUUCAAAAGUAUUACUUUUUCAGUAUAGGGCUUUUCAUUCACAGUCAUUUGUUUCGAGCUUCUGUCAUGUGUCACAUAAUAUUAAUAUAUCUACGUCAUACGUUAUUGGUAUAUAACAAUGAUACCAACUAGAAACGUAUGACGUAGAUAUAUUAAUAUUAUGUGACACAUGACAGAAGCUCGAAACAAAUGGCAAUCGAUGAAAAGCCCUAUAGGGCUUUUCAUUCACAGUCAUUUGUUUCGAGCUUCUGUCAUGUGUCACAUAAUAUUAAUAUAUCUACGUCAUACGUUAUUGGUAUAUAACAAUGAUACUAACUAGAGACGUAUGACGUAGAUAUAUUAAUAUUAUGUGACACAUGACAGAAGCUUGAAACAAAUGGCAAUCGAUGAAAAGCCCUAUAGGGCUUUUCAUUCACAGUCAUUUGUUUCGAAUUUCUGUCAUGUGUCACAUAAUAUUAAUAUAUCUACGUCAUACGUUAUUGGUAUACAGGGUGUCCCGGAAAAUAGUGCGUUCCUUAAAGGUAUAAGUAGAAGGCACCAUGUAGAACAAAAAACUCUUAUAACAUUUUUUUCUAAAUGCAACCGUUUGACCAAAAAAUUAAAAUGUAUUCUGGUAUGUAAAUUUAAAUCUGACAACUAUGUGCGGUACGCAAAUUUAAGCAUAGACAGUCCCAUGUAAACAGAUAGUUUUAGAGAAUCCUGUUUAGUGUCAAUGCCGAAAAUGUUUUCGAAUAGUGAGUGUAUUACCUAUUAUGUUAUUACCUAUGAAUGGUGUUUGUGAAAGGUUACUUGAAACAUCUAUUCGGUAUAAUAAUUAUUUUCAAGUAAGUAAAACUUAGUUAUUUCAGUUCACAAGUAAACAAAUUACUGAGACAUUAUCUGGCGUAUUUAAGUUCCACUGUAAACUAUUAAAACUAUGUAAUUCAGUUAAAGCCCUCAGCAAUACUCAGCAUUCAACCCAUUUAAACCUUACUAAAUACAUAAUACUAGUUCAGUUAAAAGAUGUGUUUUUAUGUUAAAAGAUGUGGUAAUUCGUUUAAAAUUAUGCAACAGGUAUCUCAAUACAUUUCAAAAGAAAAUAAUUUUAGUAAACAAAUCGUAAAUACAUAAGUAUUACCUACUAUUAGGUUGGAUUAUUUUAAAUACUGUUAAUCACAAUCACAAACGAGUUUUUAUUAUCUGUUAUUAUUCCGUAGUGCGUACGAUGUUGCCAGUUUAUUAAAAUUUCCAAACAUUAAAAUACAGGUAUAUGGAAAACAAUGUUAACUUUUUUUUGGAAACGGUUAAUUUUAGAAAAAAAUGGUAUAGGACUUUUUUGUUCCAAACUGUGUAUUCUCUCCAUACCUUAAAGGAACGCACUAUUUUCCGGGACACCCUGUAUAACAAUGAUACAAACUAGAGACGUAUGACGUAGAUAUAUUAUUAUUAUGUGACACAUGACAGAAGCUUGAAACAAAUGGCAAUCGAUGAAAAGCCCUAUAGGGCUUUUCAUUCACAGUCAUUUGUUUCGAGCUUCUGUCAUGUGUCACAUAAUAUUAAUAUAUCUACGUCAUACGUUACUGGUAUAUAACAAUGAUACAAACUAGAGACGUAUGACGUAGAUAUAUUAUUAUUAUGUGACACAUGACAGAAGCUCGAAACAAAUGGCAAUCGAUAAAAAGCCCUAUAGGGCUUUUUAUUCACAGUCAUUUGUUUCGAGCUUCUGUCAUGUGUCACAUAAUAUUAAUAUAUCUACGACAUACGUUAUUGGUAUAUAACAAUAAUACAAACCAAAGACGUAUGACGUAGAUAUAUUAAUAUUAUGUGACACAUGACAGAAGCUCGAAACAAAUGACAAUCUAUGAAAAGCCCUAUUGGAAAAAAAUGAACACCUUGUCAGUGGUAAUAUUUUCCAAAUUUAAUAUUCGCUAUCUUUGUCGUACAACGCGCUCAGUCGAACAGAAUGUGCUGACAAGACAGCGGCAAUUUUAGAUAUUUGACACGGCUUUAGGAAUAAUAAUGUUUGAUCCAAAAUUAUUGUCACCAUAGGUGGCUCUCAACGACAGAGAUAGAUAUACAGUUCAUGUCUGUUCUUAAUUCAGAUAUACUACUUUCCAGUUUACGUCAACUUUGCAGUGCACGUCAACUUAACAAGAAAAGUUAGGUUAUGUAGAGAUGUUGGUGGUGGACAUAUACAGCAUCCUGUUUGAUUUUAUUUAUUAUUGUUACUUAUAAUUGUGUUAAUUCUUUUUAUUUUAGAUUAAAGUUCUGUGUUAAAGAUUUUGACUGAUUUUUUAUGUUUUAUAGGGUAGUGGCACCAGUAGUUGACCAGUACCCGGUAAUUGACCAAAUUGUUUUUAAUGAGCUGAAAUAAGAAAUCUAUAACGUUUUGUUGGUUACUUAUAGCUCUAAACUGUGAAUAAUAUAUUUGUCCACUAGAUGUCGCAAAUAACUUGUAUAAAGUUUCCGCUUAAGUUGCCAUUUUAAGUCCAGUUUGUAGUUUCUCACAGUGUAGAGGCCAAUAAGCCAUUUUCCAAUAAGCGUGAAACAUGUCUGAGACUAAAAAGAAGUUUUUUAAAUAUACAGAAGAACAAUUACAACUGGCUAUAAAUGAUGUUUCUAAUAAUAUAUGCAGCAUUCGACAAGCAGAGAGAUUGUAUGGUGUUCCACAUUCCACGUUAAUAAAUAAAUUAAAAGGAAAAUCUCCCUUAGUAAGACAAAUGGGUCCUCCCACAAUAUUGACAAAAGAUGAGGAAAGCCUUUUGGUCAGAUGGCUUUUAGCAAAUGCUAAAAAAGGAUUUCCCUUAAACAAGGCCACCCUUUGCGAAACUGUAAGAGAUAUUAUUAAAGAUGAUGAUCGUGUUAACAAAUUUCGUGAUGGCAUGCCUGGGAAAAAGUGGUUCUCAGCAUUUUUGAAACGUCACCAGGAAGUUUGCCAACGUCAUGCUGAGUCUAUAAAUGGAGCACGGGCCUGCGUAACUGAGGGCUCUAUACGAGAAUGGCAUGAUUCCAUUCAAAGAUAUUUAAUUGAAGAAAAUGCUGAGGAUAUCUUAAAUGAUCCUUCUAGAAUUUUAAAUUCUGAUGAAUCUGGAUUUGCAGUACCUAAAUCCAAAAACUGGUCUUGUAUUGGGUCCUCGAGGAAUGAGAAACUUUUAUGAAAUUAAA
rnacentral:misc_RNA from 1 species